GACGAGCGCUGGCGGCGUGCCUAAUACAUGCAAGUUGAGCGAUGAAGAUUGGUGCUUGCACCAAUUUGAAGAGCAGCGAACGGGUGAGUAACGCGUGGGGAAUCUGCCUUUGAGCGGGGGACAACAUUUGGAAACGAAUGCUAAUACCGCAUAACAACUUUAAACAUAAGUUUUAAGUUUGAAAGAUGCAAUUGCAUCACUCAAAGAUGAUCCCGCGUUGUAUUAGCUAGUUGGUGAGGUAAAGGCUCACCAAGGCGAUGAUACAUAGCCGACCUGAGAGGGUGAUCGGCCACAUUGGGACUGAGACACGGCCCAAACUCCUACGGGAGGCAGCAGUAGGGAAUCUUUGGCAAUGGACGAAAGUCUGACCGAGCAACGCCGCGUGAGUGAAGAAGGUUUUCGGAUCGUAAAACUCUGUUGGUAGAGAAGAACGUUGGUGAGAGUGGAAAGCUCAUCAAGUGACGGUAACUACCCAGAAAGGGACGGCUAACUACGU
rnacentral:rRNA from 1 species